CAUCACAAUUCUGUUAGCAGACCUAGAAUAAGUCAUGCAGAUUUGAGGAUUGUUGUUGUUUUCUUGAUAAAUUACAGAGAAUUUACUAGGUGCCGCUAGCUGAGCGAUUCACCCACGCGAUGUAAUUAAUGCCAGAAUCUGAAGCAAACAAGACCAGAGCCACAACAAGUGUGAAGCACGACAGAAGCCAUGACGCAUCACCACAUGGUCAGUAAAGCUUCAUGUAAAUACAGAGCCGAUCAGCAUCACGCCUGUAACACAGCUGGACACAGUGAUGCUGGGCUCUCUUCUCGUCUUGGAUUUGUCAUCAUUUUAUUUUCAGUUUUCUUGAAAUGUUUGUUUGUUUUUACUAAAAAUCUAUUUUUUGUCUUCCUAAACCUUUUUUAGGGUCUGUCUGCCCAGCUAAAGCCGCAGCCACGGUAGACUUAGAGCAUGCGAAAUGCCAACGGACACUGCAACGAUUGCACAAUGACGUCACAUCAUGCGGCGUCUGUGGCAUAUCAAUCUUCAAUUGCUCACACAUCUUUACGUGAUACGAAUUCGCAGAUUCUCUCUCAAAUCAAGAGUUUUCGUCAUGAUGGAAUGGACCACCACACAUUUCUGAGGAAGCUUCUUGACCAGGAGGAGGCUGAAGGUCCAGAGCUUGUUCACCUAUCCCAAUGAUCUGCAGGUUUAUCACAUGUUGUGGUAGACAGGUGACAUUUUCAAAGAUUGAAGGCAAUCUUUUCCCACAACCCUUGUCUGUAAUGACGUUCUUUACUGAACCCACAAGAAUCGGUGACUUUUUCCAUAUGACAAAUUCACCAGAAUAAGAGACCCUCCUCGAGAAAAUGUG